rnacentral:rRNA from 1 species
CGCCUCUUGUUUAUCAAUAAGAGGUCCAGCCUGCCCAGUGACCCUGUUCAACGGCCGCGGUAUCCUAACCGUGCGAAGGUAGCGUAAUCACUUGUUCUUUAAAUGAGGACUAGUAUGAAUGGCCCCACGAAGGCUACACUGUCUCCUUUUCUUAAUCAAUGAAAUUAAUCUUCCCGUGAAGAAGCGGGAAUAUAAAUAUAAGACGAGAAGACCCUAUGGAGCUUUAAACUAUCGAAACACUUGCUUCACAUUUCUUAUGCUCCUGAGCCCUUUCAAUUAUUUAAGCAAUUUUACUUCAAGUUUUAGGUUGGGGUGACCACGGAGCAAAAUUUAACCUCCAUGAUGUAAGAGACUUCAUUCUUAGCUAAAAGCCACUUCUUUAAGCAUCAAUAAAUUGACUCUUAUUGACCCAAUUAUUUGAUCAACGAACCAAGUUACCCUAGGGAUAACAGCGCAAUCUACUUCAAGAGCUCGUAUCGACAAGUAGGUUUACGACCUCGAUGUUGGAUCAGGGUAUCCUAGUGGUGCAGCCGCUACUGAUGGUUCGUUUGUUCAACGAUUAAAACCCU